GACGAACGCUGGCGGCGUGCCUAAUACAUGCAAGUCGAGCGGAAUGAUGAAGAAGCUUGCUUCUUCUGAUUUUUAGCGGCGGACGGGUGAGUAACACGUGGGCAACCUACCUUGUAGAUUGGGAUAACUCCGGGAAACCGGGGCUAAUACCGAAUAAUCCAUUUUGCUUCAUGGCGAGAUGUUAAAAGGCGGCUUCGGCUGUCACUACGAGAUGGGCCCGCGGCGCAUUAGCUAGUUGGUAGGGUAAUGGCCUACCAAGGCGACGAUGCGUAGCCGACCUGAGAGGGUGAUCGGCCACACUGGGACUGAGACACGGCCCAGACUCCUACGGGAGGCAGCAGUAGGGAAUCUUCCACAAUGGACGAAAGUCUGAUGGAGCAACGCCGCGUGAGUGAAGAAGGUUUUCGGAUCGUAAAACUCUGUUGUAAGGGAAGAACACGUACGAGAGUAACUGCUCGUACCUUGACGGUACCUUAUUAGAAAGCCACGGCUAACUACGUG
rnacentral:rRNA from 1 species